UACGUAGGGUGCGAGCGUUAAUCGGAAUUACUGGGCGUAAAGCGUGCGCAGGCGGUUAUGCAAGACAGAGGUGAAAUCCCCGGGCUCAACCUGGGAACUGCCUUUGUGACUGCAUAGCUAGAGUACGGCAGAGGGGGAUGGAAUUCCGCGUGUAGCAGUGAAAUGCGUAGAUAUGCGGAGGAACACCGAUGGCGAAGGCAAUCCCCUGGGCCUGUACUGACGCUCAUGCACGAAAGCGUGGGGAGCAAACAGG
rnacentral:rRNA from 1 species